rnacentral:rRNA from 1 species
UACGUAGGGUCCGAGCGUUGUCCGGAAUUAUUGGGCGUAAAGGGCUCGUAGGCGGUCCGUCACGUCGGGAGUGAAAACUCGGAGCUCAACUCCGAGCCUGCUUCCGAUACGGGCAGACUAGAGGUAGGCAGGGGAGAGCGGAAUUCCUGGUGUAGCGGUGAAAUGCGCAGAUAUCAGGAGGAACACCGGUGGCGAAGGCGGAUCUCUGGGCAGUUGCUGACGCUGAUGCGCGACAGCGUGGGGAGCAAACAGG